rnacentral:rRNA from 1 species
UGGCUCAGAUUGAACGCUGGCGGCAGGCCUAACACAUGCAAGUCGAGCGGUAGCACAAGAAAGCUUGCUCUCUGGGUGACGAGCGGCGGACGGGUGAGUAAUGUCUGGGAAACUGCCUGAUGGCGGGGGAUAACUAGUGGAAACGGUAGCUAAUACCGCAUAACGUCGCAAGACCAAAGUGGGGGACCUUCGGGCCUCACGCCAUCAGAUGUGCCCAGGUGGGAUUAGCUGGUAGGUGGGGUAACGGCUCACCUAGGCGACGAUCCCUAGCUGGUCUGAGAGGAUGACCAGCCACACUGGAACUGAGACACGGUCCAGACUCCUACGGGAGGCAGCAGUGGGGAAUAUUGCACAAUGGGCGCAAGCCUGAUGCAGCCAUGCCGCGUGUGUGAAGAAGGCCUUCGGGUUGUAAAGCACUUUCAGCGAGGAGGAAGGGUAAUGUGUUAAU